UACGUAGGGCGCAAGCGUUGUCCGGAAUUAUUGGGCGUAAAGAGCUCGUAGGCGGCUUGUCACGUCGGGUGUGAAAGCCCGGGGCUUAACCCCGGGUCUGCAUUCGAUACGGGCUAGCUAGAGUGUGGUAGGGGAGAUCGGAAUUCCUGGUGUAGCGGUGAAAUGCGCAGAUAUCAGGAGGAACACCGGUGGCGAAGGCGGAUCUCUGGGCCUUACCUGACGCUGAGGCGCGAAAGCUAGGGGAGCGAACAGG
rnacentral:rRNA from 1 species